GCUGCACUGAGAAGCCUGGACCAAUAAAGUCCCUGGAUGAAGACCAGGCCUGUUCUGAGGGCCAAGGGCACCUUCAGACACAGAGGCUGUCUUCAGACAAGUCAAGGAAUGGAUGCCUGGAGCCAGUUGCAACCCCCUAACACCUGCCGAUGCCCCCAGAAAGCCAGCUUUCCCACCAUGUCUCCCAAACCCAGGGACCUCAGGAUCUGAGAUAGCUUCAGGCAAAGAUGGAGAGUGGAGGUGGGACCCCGGCCAGGUGGAGACAACCAGAGGUAACUGCGGGAGGAAGCUAGGAGUGGCAAUUUCCCAAGUGAGAAAGACUAGGAAGAAGGAAAAGAUUGCUUCCUGUUGGGGAGAAAAGGGGAAUAUUCAUGUGCCCAGAAACCCACUGAGCAAUACAAGGAGAAAAUAUCGAUACCCCAAAUGACCUAGAUGGAUCUCAAGGGCAAGAAGUCAAUCUCAAAAGUCAUGUAUUCUAUGAGUCCAAUUACAUAACAUCAUUGACAUUAUGUCAAGGUGGUGGCCCAGAUCCACACAUGUGACAAAAUGUCCUAGACACACACACAUCAUUCCAACGCCAUUCCUGGCUUUGUUAUUAUGCUACCAUUAUGUGAAACAUAGCCAUUGCAGAAGACUGGCGGCCAAAGACACAGGAGACAUCUCUGUACAAGCUUUCCAAUGUGCCAUGAAUCUGUAAUUAUUUCAAAAUUAAAAGCUUAAAAGCAUAAGUAAACAUAAGGGUAAAUGCCAUGCAAACACACACACACACACACACACACACACACUCACACACACAAAUUCAACAUGUACAGAGUAGUGUCAGUGGCAAAAGAAAGAUUUGCCAUGAGAGUAAGAAAUAAAUUUGAUGAAUUGAACAGAAGCCAUGACAAGUGAGAAUAAAGAAGAGAGACUAGUAGGCACAAGAGGUUUUAAAGCCAUAUGAAAGAGUCUAAGCUUAGUAUUUCCCACAUGAGUUAGUAAAAAUCCCAUGUCCUUUCUCAUGCCCAUAUUCCAGAAGUUGGGCUGAUUAAAACUUAGUUUCCAUCAUUCAAUUUGCUGCCAGUGACUGGCUUCCAGUUCUGUCUCUACCUCUCAGCUGCUUUGACCCAACAACCCCCACAUUCUCAGGCCCUUUGUCUGCAAAAGUCAAA
rnacentral:lncRNA from 1 species